CAAUGAAUGCUACUUAUCUUGUGUGUAAAAUCACAUUACUGUCUAUUUUGACUCUUAGCACCAAUGGACUAGCAGAUAAGAUAGCUGAAUACUGGAUGUUUGAUCAAGGUACAAAUACUGUUGAAUGGAUUAGCUGCAUGGGAAUUUUCCUGUUCUCCUUAUAUAUAAGUGAAUACAAGACAGUUUCCCAUUAGACCUUCUCAAAGGCAUCCCUUUUGCUUGAACUAACUCCAGAUUUACGAUUAAACUGGUUAGAUGAUAUUCCCUAUUUCCACUUUGGGCG